UUUAAGGCUUUGUUUGGAUUUGUGGUAUGAGAUGGAAUGGAGUGGUAUGUGGUGGUAUGAAGUGAAGUUCCAUUGUUUGGAUUCUUUAAAAAUGAAUGGAAUGGAGUGGUAUGUGAUGGUAUGGAUUCCAUCCCAUUCCAUCAUUUUCUCUUAUUUUUCUUCCCCUCCAAUUUGGGGUGUAUGGGAUGGAAUACAAAAUGUCCAAACAAUGGAAUACAUUUUAUGCUCCAUUCCAUCCCACUCCGCUCCAUUCCAUCUUAUUCCAUUCCGCUCCAUUCCGUUAUGUACCAUCAAUCCAAACAUAGCCUA
rnacentral:lncRNA from 1 species